rnacentral:tRNA from 1 species
CCCUAGCUGGCUCAGUGGGUAGAGCGUGCAACUCUUGAUCUCAGGAUAGUGAGUUCAAGCCCCACGCUGGGUG